rnacentral:rRNA from 1 species
AUGCUUCUAUUAUCGAUCUGGAGUUGGGAGCACUUGCCAGUGGGGCGGCCGACACCAAAGGGUUACGACCGGUGGGAUGAUCAUCAUGACCCGGACCGUAUGCCUACAUGGGCGUAUAAGUGGGACAAGGUUGAAGGUUUUGUUGGCAGUUCAAAGACCAUGUAUUUGCACUACUACAACGAGCUUUGGUGGAUACUUGUACAUCUUUUUGGCCUUGUUUUUCCCGGACAUCAAGUUGGAUGUUUCUUCACUAUACUUUUGAAAAUAGACAUUCAACUUCUGGAAUGUAUACUCUACUAUUGUUGUCACGGGCAAUGCACGGACACCCUUUAG